rnacentral:lncRNA from 1 species
UUUUUUCAAGUUACAACUCUCGUUCUUCUGAGACUUUUAUUGGAUCGAGUUGUAAACUUAAACCCGAUGGUGCUCUGAUACUCUUGAUACGUUUUUCUACAUGCUUAUUCCUCGUUAAUAUUAUUGCACGCAUGCUGAACUACAUCAGUCACCAUAUUUCAUCAUGCAUUUCAAAUUCUUCACUAUUAUAUGUCAAAUGCGUGUAUGAGUUACAAGAUAUAGGGGGAGAUCUCCAUGAUUCAACUCUUCAAGUGUGCAUUGCUUCAAAAGCAAAUUCCUCACUAUGCACAUCUUCAGGGGGAGUUCUUCUAUAUCUUGCAAUCAAAUUCCUCAACAUCAGUAUUACACUUCAUAUGUUUAUCCCCGUUGAAAACUUAACCUAUAUUGUCAUCAAUCACCAAAAGGGGGGAGAUUGUAAGUGCAUCUAGUGCCCCUUAGUGAUUUUGGUGUAUUGAAGACUUAUAGGUUAAGGGACUAAUGUGUUUAUGAGUGUACACAGGUCUAUAAGUCUAUGAGGAGUCUGAUAUUUAUAGAGAAAGUCGAGCCCUAAAAAUGAAGUUCUUCAUCUGAAGACUUUGAUAUUCUGAAGACUUUCUGAAGACUUUGAAAGUGAAGAAAUUGGUGUGACCUUGAAGACUUGGUAUUCAUUCGAGGAACAUGAAGCGUGAAGACUUUUGUUUUCGUAGUUUCAUUUUCUUUUUCUUGAGUCAUAGGAAACACCGUACUGUUAAAGGGGGUCGAGGAAAUACUAAGGAAAAAUUUCCAUGUGAUGCUCAACUCAAAAUCCUACACCUACCAAUCCCUUCGAGUGAAGCCAUUGGAAAUCUCAUACAGUUUAGUCAAUUUCUUCAAUGACAGAGACGAAGUUCUUCUGGUCUCUGAGGAAUUUGUUCCGACUAAGGAGUUAGGAAUUCGCCAGUGCAGAUUACCUACAUAGUGAGGAACAUGAUACCCCUGAGGAUUUUGCUACUCAAAAUUCCGACCGUUGCUGUGCUAUGCGCCAGCUGUCCUAAAAUAUCUAUCCACAUAAUGGUCAUAUCAUUGAAGGGCAUUUAUGUCUUAUUGAUACAUCUCCAUAGUAUCUACUUUUCCAAACACUUUUGCCCUUGUUUUGGACUCUAACUUGUAUGAUUUGAAUGGAACUAACCCGGACUGACGCUGUUUUCAGCAGAAUUGCCAUGGUGUUGUUUUAUGUGCAGAAAACAAAUAUUCUCGGAAUGACCUGAAACUCCACGGAACAUCUUAGAAAAAAUAAUAAAAAUUCCUCGCCAAAGAUGAAGACCAGGGGGCCCACACCCUUCUCACGAGGGUGAGGGCGCGCCCCCUACCUCGUGGGCCCCCUGGAUGCCCUCCGAUGCCAACUCCAACUCUAUAUAUUUGCUUUCGGAGAGAGAAAAUUAGAGAGAAGAAAUCAUCAUGUUUUACGAUACGGAGCUGCUUCCAAGCCCUAAAACCUCUCGGGAGGGCUGAUCUGGAGUCCGUUCGGGGCUCCGGAGAGGGGGAUUCAUCGCCGUCGUCAUCAUCAACCAUCCUCCAUCACCAAUUUCAUGAUGCUCACCGCCAUGCGUGAGUAAUUCCAUCGUAGGCUUGCUGGACGGUGAUGGGUUGGAUGAUAUUUAUCAUGUAAUUGAGUUAGUUUUGUUAGGGUUUGAUCCCUAGUAUCCACUAUGUUCUGAGAUUGAUAUUGCUAUGACUUUGCUAUGCUUAAUGCUUGUCACUAUGGCCCGAGUGCCAUGAUUUCAGAUUUGAACCUAUUAUGUUUUCAUGAAUAUAUGUGAGUUCUUGAUCCUAUCUUGCAAGUAUAUAGUCACCUACUAUGUGUUAUGAUCCGACAACCCCGAAGUGACAAUAAUCGGGACCACUCCCGGUGAUGACCAUAGUUUGAGGAGUUCAUGUAUUCACUAUGUGCUAAUGCUUUGUUCCGGUUCUCUAUUAAAAGGAGGCCUUAAUAUCCCUUAGUUUCCAAUAGGACCCUGCUACCACGGGAGGGUAGGACAAAGAUGUCAUGCAAGUUCUUUUCCAUAAGCACGUAUGACUAUAUACAGAAUACAUGCCUACAUUACAUUGAUGAAUUGGAGCUAGUUCUGUGUCACCCUAUGUUAUGACUGUUGCAUGAUGAACCGCAUCUGGCAUAAUUAUCCAUCAUUGAUCCGGUGCCUAUGAGUUUUCCAUAUACUGGUUCUCGCUUAUUUACUUUCCCGCUGCUACUGUUACAAUCACUACAAAAUACCAAAAACAUUACUUUUGUUGUCUUUACUUUUGUUGCUGCUACCACCACUAUCAUAUUACUCUGCUACUAAACACUUUGCUGCAGAUACUAAGUUUCUAGGUGUGGUUGAAUUGACAACAUAGCUGCUAAUACUUGAGAAUAUUCUUUGGCUCCCCUUGUGUUGAAUCAAUAAGUUUGGGUUGAAUACUCUACCCUCGAAAGCUGUUGCGAUCCCCUAUACUUGUGGGUUAUCAAGACCAAUUUCUGGCGCCGUUGCCGGGGAGCAUAGCUCUAUUCUUUGAGUCACUUGGGGUUUAUAUCUGCUGGAAACUAUGAAGAACUUGACAGAUCCAAAAACCAAGAUCUAUCCCUCAACUACGAGGGGAGGUAAGGAAUUGCCAUCUAGCUAUGCACUUGAUUCACCUUAUGUUAUGAGUAAGUUUGUGACACCUACACCUGCUUCUGCUAUUCGUUCUGAUAUGUCGCAUAUUAUUGAUGAUGCCACUUCUGCUAUGCAUGAUACUUAUGAUGAAACUGCUUCUAUGCCUGAUACUACUGUGCCCCUUGGUGAAUUUCUUAAUGAACAAAUUGCUAGGGCUAGAGAAAAAGAAAUUAUUGAAUCUGAAUACGAUGAUGAUAGUGAUGAUGAAAAUAUGCCUGUUAUCCCUGAGGGCUAUCUUUUUGAUAUGGAAUCUUAUGCCGCUAUUUUAGCUUGCAAAGAUAGAUAUGAGCUCAAGAGGUUAUUAGUUAAAUGGAACAAAGAAUCACUUAGAGAUAAAAUGAAAACCGACCCUGCUUUUGCUACUUCACCUAUUUGUGUUCCUGAUAAGGAUUAUGAAUUCUCUGUUGAUCCUGAUAUAAUUACUUUGGUGGAAUCUGAUCCGUUUUAUGGCUAUGAAUCUAAAACUGUUGUGGCACAUCUUACUAAGUUAAAUGAUAUAGGUACCCUGUUCACCAAUGAUGAGAGAUCGCGUUACUUCUAUAUACUCAAAAUAUUUCCGUUCUCAUUAAAGGGUGAUGCUAAGAUAUGGUUUAAUUCUCUUGAUCCUGGUUGUGUGCGUAGUCCCCAGGAUAUGAUUUAUUACUUCUCUGCUAAAUAUUUCCCUGCUCAGAAGAAACAAGCUGCUUUGAGGGAAAUAUACAACUUCGUGCAAAUUAAAGAAGAGAGUCUCCCACAAGCUUGGGGGAGGCUUCUCAAGUUACUUAAUGCUUUGCGUGAUCAUCCUCUUAAGAAACCUGAGAUACUUGAUAUCUUUUAUAAUGGACUAACCGAUGCUUCCAGAGAUUACCUGGAUAGUUGUGCUAGUUCUCUUUUCAGGGAAAUAACACCGGAUGAAGCUGAAAUUCUAUUGAAUAAUAUGUUGACAAAUGAAAAUAAUUGGGCACCUCCUGAGCCAACUCCUUCUCCAAUUACUGAGCCUAUUCCUAAACCAACUCCGAAGAAGAGAGGUGUUCUAUUUCUCAGUCCCGAAGAUAUGCAAGAGGCAAAGAAAUCUAUGAAAGAGAAAGGUAAUAAAACUGAAGACGUUAAGAAUUUACCUCCUAUUGAAGAAAUACAUGGUCUUAAUAUACCGCCUACUGAAGAAACAUAUGAUCUAAAUUCUUUAUUUACUGAAGAACCUCCUGAUCCCGAUAUCCCGACACAGGUAGUAAAGGUAAAUUCUCUCUAUAGAUAUGAUAAAGCUGAAGUCCCUCCUACUAAAAUUGCUAGUCAGUGCUUGGAUGAGUUUGAUAACUUUAUGUUUAAGCAAGACGACUUCAAUGCUUAUUUUGGUAGACAAUUAAAAGAAAAUGCUUAUAUGAUUAAAUACUUGGGUGAUUAUAUGGCUAAUAUUAGAGGUGAACUUAAACUUGUUAGCAAACAUGCUUCUAUGGUUACCACUCAAGUAGAACAAGUACUUAAAGCUCAAAAGGACUUGCUCAAUGAGAUGAAUAGUAAGAAAAAUGAUUAUGCUGUUAAAGUGGCUACUAGAACUGGUAGAAUGACUCAGGAACCUUUGUAUCCUGAAGGCCACCCUAAGAGAAUUGAGCAAGAUUCUCAGAGAAAUAAAAUUGAUGCGCCUAGUUCUUCUAAAAGGAAGAAAAAUAAAAAUGAUAGAACUGUGCAAUGCUAAACCACCUGAUAAUCCAAAUGAUAUCUCUAUGUCUGAUGCUGAAACACAAUCUGGUAGUGAACAUGAACCUAAUGAAAAUAUUAAUGAUGAUAUUCAUGAUGAUACUCAACCUAGUAAUGAUAAUGAUAUAGAAAUUGAACUUGUUGUUGAUCUUGAUAACCCACAAUCAAAGAAUCAAUGUUAUGAUAAAAGAGACUUUGUUGCUAGGAAACAUGGUAAAGAAAGGGAACCUUGGGUUCAGAAACCAUGCCUUUUCCUCCAAAACCAUCCAAGAAAAAGGAUGAUGAGGAUUUUGAGCGCUUUCCUGAAAUGAUUAGGCCUAUCUUUUUGCGUAUGCGAUUAACUGAUGUGCUCAAAACAAAUCCUUAUGCUAAAUAUAUGAAGGAUAUCAUUACUAAUAAAAGAAAGAUACCAGAAGCUGAAAUUUCCACCUUGCUUGCUAAUUAUACUUUUAAGGGUGGAAUACCAAACAAACUUGGAGACCCCGGAGUACCUACUAUACCUUGCUCCAUUAAAAGAAAUUAUAUUAAAACUGCUUUAUGUGAUCUUGGAGCCGGUGUUAGUGUUAUGCCUCUCUCUUUAUAUCGUAGACUUGACUUGAAUAAGUUGACACCUACUGAAAUAUCUUUGCAAAUGGCUGAUAAAUCAACUGCUAUACCUGUCGGUAUCUGUGAGGAUGUGCCUGUUGUGGUUGCAAACGUUAUUAUUUGAAUGGACUUUGUUAUUCUUGAUAUUCCUGAGGAUGAUAGUAUAUCUAUUAUUCUUGGAAGACCUUUUCUUAAUACCGCAGGGGCUGUUAUUGAUUGCAACAAAGGCAAUGUCACUUUUCAUGUUAAUGGUAAUGAGCAUACGGUACACUUUCCGAGGAAACAACCUCAAGUUUAUAGUAUCAACUCCAUUGGAAAAAUUCCAUCGAUUAUAAUUGGAGGUUUUGAAUUUCCUCUUCCUACUGUCAAGAAGAAAUAUGAUAUACUUAUUAUUGGGGAUGUGCAUAUCCCCGUUGAGGUAACUUAGUGUUAUUCGAAAUUUCUCUGGUUUCAUGAUUAUCGGAAUGAGUUUGUUAACAAGACUUGAUCAACCUUGUUAGUGGAUUCUUUUUGGUGAGCAUGAGAUGGAUGAAACUAGAAGCACCACCUUCUGUACCUUCUCUUUAUUUUCUGUCAAUUAGUAGAAAUAAAGUAAAAAUAGUUUUUUCUGUCUAUUUCCUGACUUAUCCGUGCAAUAUAAAAAUAUCCCGAAAAUAAAAGUCCUCAGAAUGACAUGCCAAUUUAAUAUGAUUUUUCGGGAAUAUUUAAGAAUUUACUGUGCAAAAAUUACCGUGGGAGGAGCUGCCACCUGGCCACGAGGGUGGUGGGCGCGCCCCCUGCCUCGUGGGCCCACGGUGGCCCUCCUCCACCUAUCCCAGCAUCCAUCUUCCUCUGUCUCACGCAAACCCAAAAAACCAACUCAAGCACGAGUUCCAGCCACUUUUGUUGUGAUUUUCGAUCUCCUUGCUCAAAGCACCUCUCGCAAAACUGCUUGGGAGAUUGUUCCUUGGUAUGUGACUCCUCCAUUGGUCCAAUUAGUUUUUGUUCUAGUGAUUUAUUCUUUGCAAAUUUGUGCUGCAUAGGUGACCAUGUUCUUGAGCUUGCAUGUCAAAUUUAUAUGGUUCUAAGUAGUUCUAAUGCUUGAUAUAGGCUCUAGGCACUUGUAGGAGUAGUUGCUAUCAAUAUUAUUGAGUUUGGUUCACUUUUGUUUGAAGUUACUAAAAUUUCAUAUUAUUUUAGAAAAAUAAUGAGGAGAUUUUUGAGGGGCUCAUCGAGCCAAAGCUCAAAGGAAAAGGCACCGAAGCCUAAGUAUAAUUUGUCGCGCACCACGGAGAUUCGGGCGUGUGAAUGGCCUUCCGAUGAUUUCUUGAGAGCAGCCGGUAUCUAUGAAGAUUUUCAUGAAUUGGCUCAUAAUGCAGGCCUCACCGCUUUCCUCCACGACCAAUGCGAUUAGUAUCUCUUACUCACAAAUACUUUUGUACAAAACUUUCAUUUUCAUUCUAGGAACUCACCACCUACGGUGGAGUUUCAUUUAUAUGAUGAGCAUAAGGAGAUGUCACUUUAUGAUUUCUGUCGGAUUUGUUUAGUCCCUUUUGAGGGCAAGACAGAAGAACCACAUCAUGAUGAUGUGGCUGGGUUUAUUGAUACUAUCACUAUAGGAGAAACUAGGAAGGUUUUCGAUGCACGAAUCACUAGCAUACAUUUUCAUGUUUUACGUUACUUUGCAUUAUUUGUUAGUCGUUGUUUAAUUGGACGCAGAAACUGUGGAAACCUUAGUAUCUGAAAGUGCUAGUGAUCGACUAGACGGGGUGAAUAGGCGAUUUUUAUGGAAGUCUUCAAAACAUGGAAGUUUCGAAGACAAAUGAUAGAAAUAAACCUAUUACCAUGCAGCGGAAGGUAGACUACACUAGGCAAACCAUAGUCAAGUAUUCAAUGGAGUGAAAGCACAAUGACUAAUAGCAGCUAGGCAGUAAAGAUCAGGUAGGAAGAUAUUGUGAAGCCAAUCAGAACAAGCAGUCACUCAGUGAAGAAAAAGAUAAAGCAAUCAUACAAUGGCUUCACAAGGACCAACGGUAAGUAAAGGGAAGGGAAGGAUGAAACCAGUGACUCGUUGAAGACAAUGAUUUGUUGGAUCAGUUCCAGUUGCUGUGACAACUGUACGUCUGGUUAGGGAGGCUGAGAUUCAACUCAGAAGACCUCGUCUUCACCUUAUUCCCCUUGAGCUAAGGACACCCAGUCCUCGCCCAAUCACUCUGGUAAGUCUUCAUAGUCCACAAUGACUCUUGGAUGCUCAGAACGCGACGCCUAACUGGCUGGAGGAUUCAUAGUCCUUAAGUGUAAUAAGUCUUCAGAUCACACAGACAGGAAGACUUAAGUGAUGCCUAACACUCUUUGGCUCUGGGUGUUUAGGGCUUUAUCCUCGCAAGGAAUUCUCUCUCAAAGGCUUCGAGGUGGGUUGCUCUCAAAUGACAAAAGUCGUGCACUAACUCUGAGCAGCCAACCGUUUAUGGUUGUAGGGGGUGGGCUAUUUAUAGCCACUAGGCAACCCGACCUGAUUUGUCUGAAAUGACCCUUGGUCACUAAGCAACUGACACGUGUUCCAACGGUCAGAUUUCAAACACACACGGCAACUUUACUUGGGCUACAAGCAAAGCUGACUUAUCCAACUCUGGACAAGAUUUGCUCUCAUAGUCUUCACUCAAAGACAUAGGAUUUUGGUUAAGCAUCACUUCAGUCAUUCUGACUGGUUCACUUGGACCCCACCUAACAGUACGGUGGUUCUUAUGACUCAACAAAGAAGAAAAAGAACGACGAAACAACCAAGUCUUCGCGCUCCAUAGUCUUCAUGCGAUGUCUUCUCUUGUCAUAGGCUUCAAUGUGAAUGUCUUCACGUACCACCUUUGACUUCAAUGUCUUCAUUCAUUUUUAGGGGUCAUCUCUGGUAGGAAAACCGAAUCAAUGAGGGACUUCUACAUGUGUUAUCCUGCAAUUCUCACAAACACAUUAGUCCCUCAACCAGGUUUGUCAUCAAUACUCCAAAACCAACUAGGGGUGGCACUAGAUGCACUUACAAUCUCCCCCUUUUUGGUGAUUGAUGACAAACUGGUUGAAGUUUUCAACGGGGAAUAAAAUAUGUGAAAUUGUAAAGGAUAGGGUAUUGUCUUCAUAAGUUGCAAGGGCUCCCCCUGAAGAUGUGCAUAUAAGUAAUUUGCUUUUGGAAUGCAAAUGCACAUGGCAGGUUGUACUUGUGGAGAUCCUCUUCAACCUAUGAUGACAAGUCAUUAUGCAAGAUAUGAUGUAACGAAGAUAAUGACAUGCAUAAUGAAAAAUGGACGUCUGCAAAAUGAUCUAAGUGCGGAAUUUAUCAUCGCACAUGCGGAAUUUAUCAUCGCAUCACAGAAUAGCAAAUAAGUAGCAGACGACCAUCAAGUUUAAGUGUUACAACUCAAAGAACCAAAUGUAUCAAAAACGAGAGUUGUAAGCACUUGGCAAAAGUAGUAAAAAGUAAAGCAACCACCCAUAUGGACCCGCUUGAAGACUAUCAACUCAUAUGCUUCUCCCCCUUUUGUUAAUGAUGACCAAAAAGGUUUGAAGACAUAGAGCGCCUACUCGUUCCCAUGAGGUGCAGGCGAGGCAGCAGGGUCGUCGUUGAGAUCCGGUGGUGCAGAGGAACUUGGUGCAGUGUCGACACGCGCUGAAGUUGGAGGAGGUGAAGUUGCAGCAUCUUGGUCAUCGAUGACUCUGGCAUUUACGGUCACAGCUGAGGACGAGUAUUCAGAGUCUUCAAGUGAGGGAGUCCGACGCAAGUGAGCAUUUCUGGGAGGAGUUGAGUCAAACUUGAAGCGUUCGGUGAAGCCAUCGUCAUGCAGAUCAGCUUCAGCACUCAGUAGGGUCAAACUCUUCCACGACCUCCGACAGGUUUCAUGAGUGACAAAGGCAUUCUUGGUGGCAAGAUUGUGAAUGCGGUUGACAUCCACCAAGAGGCUUUGCAUCUGACGCUUAAGUCAGUCAUGAUGUUUGUCCUGUUUCUGAUGCAGCGCGACUAGAAGCUCUCGGUCAUUUAGGACACGAGAUCGUCGUCGAGGCCUUUGUGCAAUGGUGCUACCAGUGGCAUCAGUUUGAGCACGAGGGGCACGUGUGUUUCCAGCAAGGGGAUAAACACGAGAAACUGCUGGAAUUCCUUCAAUGGGCUGGGUGAAGCUUUGGUGAUCAGCAUUGUGAAGAUAAAUGGGAUCCUUAGCAGGCUCUGGGUAAAUGGCUUCAACUGACAGAUCAACCUCGGGCAAGAAUAUAAGAUGAUUGCGCGCAGACGGCUGAUAGUUGAAGGCUGAGUGACGCUUGAUCAGACGCAUGACCCAUGGAGCAUAGAAUUUCAACCCAAAGAUGUCGGAGCCAGACGCAGCCAACUGCCUGAUGAAGAAGUCUUGAGCAUUGAAGCUGAUGCCAUUGAAGAUAUAGAAAACCAAAGUCUUCAUUGCUCCUUCAAGCUUCGCUGCAAGUGAGUGUCCUUUGACAGGCCAUAGAGUCUUCCUGAUGAUGUGGUAAAUGGUGCGAGGCAGGUACUCUAGGUCUUCAACAAAGAACUCAGAUGGGUAUUCAGCGUCGUGAGGCAGAGGCUUCAUCAUGCUCAGCAUUUGACUCAUGUUGGGUUCUGGCUUCUGAAAGAUGCUUUCCAAGGUAUUUUGAUGUUGUUGACAACCUGGUUCAUAGUAUUCACCAGGAGUGUGCAGGCAUGUGAGCUCAAUGAUAUCAAGAGCUUUAGCUUCAUGAUGGACAUUGCCUAUCAUCCACUCAAGGACCCAAGUCUUCGGAUCCCUGUUGUAGCCUCGAAUAUGAAGAGUGGCAUAGAAUUGAAGCAGCAAUUCUUUGUUCCAGUGCUCCUUGUCAGUGAUGAACUACAACAGACUAGCAUCUCUGAAACAAUCCAAUGCUUCUUCAAGGCAGGGCAGUCCAGCUAUAGCUUCAAAGUCGAGGCGCAUAUGUGGAAAUAUGCGCCCUUGAUUGUAUAGGACACAGGAAUAGUAGCUGCGCUGCUGAUAGCUCCAGAACUGAUCUGAGGAAAUGCACAGUCUGGUAUAAGGGUUCUUGGAGCUGUUGAAGAAGGUAUUAUGUGCCACGAAGCCAUUUGCAUUAAAGACCCCAGGUGAAGUGGCAGUGCCUGGGAAUCAUGGAAGUCUUGGCUUGGGCUUUUGGACUUGAGGCCUGUGCUCAACGUGGUACUCAAAUUGUGGACCAGCAGCAGGUGGAGGAGUCAGAAUGGGAAUCGAACCAUAACUGGCUGACCACGAUCAAAUGCCAGCUCCAUUGUGUGAGGUCUUGGAGGGGAACAGGGGCAUUUGCAUUGUCUUCAUGGGCUUUAGGGGCCACAUGUGCUUCAGGUACUUGGACCUCAGGUACUGCAGCAUUGACUUCAGGUGUUGCAGCAUUGACUUCUGGUGCCUUAUUGGCUUCUGGCGCCUCGUUGGCUUCCGGCGCCGUAUUGGCGUUAACCAUGACAACGUCAUUGGCAUCAGCAGUGAUGUUGGUGGCUACUUCAGGGUUGUUAACCUCCACUUAAGAAGCUGGAGGGUCAGUCACGUUCUCCUCGAGAACAACAUCUUGGUGAGACGGGGGUGUAGCAACUCUUGAAACUCUUGGGGCUUCUUCUUCAUCGGCUGAUGCAGCCGAAACAUCUUCAGCCAUUUUGGCUUCAGAUUCAGACACAUGCAUUGUGGGAGUGACUUGGGGCCUUGGUCCUUUGUGAAGCAUGCGUAAUGCGGGCGACACUUGUGGGGAUGGAGUGUGCUGGGCCACAAAGUCAUCAUCAUCUUGCACCAUUGGGGUAGCUUGCGGUUGGGGAGAGCUUGGAGUGUCUUGUCUCUGUGGGUGAUCAGCCCACGAUGCAUCUUGAGCAGUUGGCGUCAGAGGACGACCAAUGCUGAUGAGUUUGAUGUGUGUGAGCACAGGCGAUGAUACCAAUUGGUGCUCGAUCUGAGGAAGGACUUCAUCAUCUUCAACAUUGUCAUGAUGACCAAUGUCUUCAGCAGCGGUGGGGUCAACUGCUAGAAUGUCUUCAGCUUUAGGAGCCUCUGUGGAAGCAGGCUCAUGAAUUACCAUCCGUCGUUCUUGAUGCGAAGAGGCAGGACGAGCAACCGAGAUGGGCUCAACAAUAAGGGGCUCUGUGGCAGCAGUCUAAUCUUUCUUGGUUUUGCGCUUCUUCUUGGAGGGAGCGACAUCAGAAGCUUCAGGAUGUUUCCUCUUUCUGGCUUCAGCCUCGGCAGCCCUUGUCUUCUUUAACUCUGAGCCACUAUGGGGACAUUAGGCUUUGAGCCUGUCAUACUGGCUAGGAAGACAAUGGGAUAUGCUUCCUGCCUUGUUGCUUCGGGUUCGGCCAUAGUUGGCUUCUUCUUCUUCUUUCCAGCCAUCUUGGGAUCGAUGCCAGGACGCCCAAGAGCCUUGUUCAUUGUAGGCUUGCAUGCACUUGUCAGCCAGACUCUUCAUGCGCUCACGAGAACCUUUAGCUUCUUCGCGUUUCUUGAGAAAGGCUUCCUUGAGCUCGUGCAGCAUAGUCUUGAAGUUCUUGACAUCUUGCACGCUGAGCUUUGCCAUGUGCUGCUUGAACUAAGCUUUCUCAUAGUCGAUCUUUUGCUUCAGUUCAACGAUGCGCUGAGCUAGAGCUAGCUCAGAAGCAAUGGCGCCAGUGAAAGCAACACUGAGGCCAAUUAGAAGUUGCAGAUCAUCAAAGCUGAGAUUGGGGGUUUCAAACCACUCAUCAAUGAAUUUGUGAAGGAUUGCUACGUCAAAGAGAGGCAAAUCAUUAAAGAUUUCUGCUUCUUCUUUGCUCUUGAUCAGUUGCUCAAGAGCGUCAUCUGCAAGAUCUUCAUCGCUGGACAGAUCAAUGAUGUCAUUGCGCAGAAUAGCAGCAACAGUCAGUUCUUGGCUGGUGGGUUGCAAGGGCAUCUUCACUCUCGAGGGCUUGGAGAUGCGUGACAAAUCUUUAGACUGCACACUGUGUUCGGGAGGUGCAGUGGCCAGAGGCUUCUCCUGUGAGACCUUUGGUGUAGGAGCAGGCUUUGAAGCUUUAGGCUUCUUCAGUUUCUUUGGCUUCGGCGGUGCAGGCGCUUCAUCAGAUUCAGCGUCGUCUGCAGGCUCAUCCACGGUUGUCCCUUGAACCAUGAUAUGAGUGAUGAGACCUUCCAGGUUGUAGAAGGGCCCAACAAGAUUGGGUUCAGCUUCGCGUGUGCCAUCAGCACGAGGAGCAGAGGGGCCUGGAUUGAAUUCUAAGCCUCAUGACUUCUUGUUCUCUUUGGCCGAGUUCCUGGCAAACUGAAGGUUGCGCUUGAACAGAUUAUCAUCGCGGCACCACAGUAAUGAAGAUGGGUCUGCAUCUGCAGGCUGCGGUCCACGGACCAUGCAAGGAUAGAAGCCUUGUUCAAUGGCUUCAGCUCUGGACUUGGGUUGAAGAUUUCUGUAUAGAAUGUCUCCCCAUGGUCGUUUGAUAGAAUUCUUCUCAGCAUACUCCUGGGUCACGAACUUGUACUUGAACCACUGUUCUGCCCAAUAUCUUCGAAUCCAUUGGAUUCGAGUUUUUCGUUGAUUGUAGUCCUCCUCUGGGUCUGUCUUGUACAGCUCAUAGAGGUCAGGAGGCAAAUCUCUUGAGGUGUUGCCACGAUGCUGUGUGCCACCCUUUCUUGUAGGUUUCUCUGGUGCCAUGAAGCUUAAACUGAAGGGCUUCAAUACGUUUAAAGGCUUCAAAGGCUUCCGCUUUCUGGUCAAACAGGAACUGGCUUCGGGAGAGUUAAUGUGAUGCUGUAAGAAUUCUGCAAACAAAUGCAAACUAUGAGAACCAAGGGAUUCUCCCACGGACAUGUACCUAUGACAGCAUUAAGGUGCGAGGGAAGGGGAAGAGGUCAUAUGCAUUCUCAGAAGAUUUUGAAGAUAAAUCAGUUUAGAAGACAUUGACCUCAUAGUGCGAAGACAUUCACUCUUAGAUAGAGAGUUGGUUCCAGAUUUGUAUGAAUCCACGAAUAAGUACAAGUGAGGAAUCUAACUACUUUGUGAAGCAUAAGUGAACAUACUAGGCAUAUUAUGAGAUGCAGUAUGAAAAAGAUCCAACUUGUGUGAACAGAAACUGCUUGUGGUAGAAAGUGAUGAAUCUAUAGGAUCAAUGGGGCCGUAAAAAGGAAGUUUUAUUUACCACACGAAGAACUGCUAGACGGAGUGGGAGAGGAGGCCGAGCAGUUCGAUCGUCCGUGCCCUAACUUGGCGACGGAGGACACCUAUGGCGACGGCGGAGAAGACGAUGUCCGCGGCCGGCAUGAAGACGGCAUCGGUGAGGUUGCGGCAGCUAAGCGCUUCGUUGUUGGCAUCGUCGAGGGCUAGCGGUGGCGCUAGGGUUUGUGCGAGAGUGGAAGAAGGGAUAAUGACUGUGGUGAGGCAUGUAUUUAUAGGGAUAGGGAUGGCACAGUGUUAUUACACAGGUGCCCCUGGCGAUUCACAUCUGAAGGACACGUGGCUAUCAUGCAACGUAUCGGAGGUUGUUCCACAUUCCCAUGCACGCCUAGAUUGUCGGGUGGUCGUUCCCACUUCUCCGGGUUUCAGGUGAAGGAAUUAGCAUUGAAAACGGACUUAAUGUUUGUCUCUGUAUCUUCUGCUGACAAGGACGCGGAGAAGACAGUCGAUAGUUUCAAUAGAAUGCAUAUGAUUUGGACAGAUAGAGUUUGAGAUAAGAAAGCAUAGAGAGAUUAGGGUCCGAUCACAUUCACUUAGUUCAAAAGAUUCAACAAGGAAGAUGUAGCUAUAAGUGAAUGUUGUAGAGGACAGAACACUAGUAUGUAUAUAUCAAAAGACAAUCAAGUCAACAUAGUGAAGAUAAUCAUGAAGACAAGUUGAAAUUGAAGACAAACCAAAUGUGAAGACAUAGCAAAUGUAACGCCAUGGGUAAAACACUUCAACACAGAAGAAUUUGGUGGUGGUGUUACCCACCGUAUAGGAAGUAUUAGACCCAGACACGGCGCACAAUUAUCGUGGCGCUCCGAAGUCAAAUUUCACGUUAAUGUAUUCACACUCAGAAUGUAAGUCUUCAUUGAUUGAAGAUAUACUUUACUUCGUGUGUUGCACAUCUAAGUCAUCAACAUGCACAAGUGUUAGGAUGUGUGCCUGAUCACUGGACAUUUGAGGAUUCCAAGAUAUUUAGCUCACACCGUAACUUGCAAAACCUCUUCUCAUCCAAGGGCUUGGUGAAGAUAUCUGCCAAUUGCUCUUCAGUGUUGACGUGUAUGAUAUCAAUAUCUUCCUUCAUAACAUGAUCUCUGAGAAAGUGAUGACGAAUUUCAAUGUGCUUUGUCUUUGAGUGCUGAACUGGGUUGUUGGCAAUCUUGAUGGCGCUUUCAUUGUCGCAGUAGAGUGGCACUUGCUUCAGAUGAAUGCCAUAGUCUUUGAGUGUUUGCUUCAUCUAGAGAAGCUGAGCGCAGCAAGAUCCAGCAGCAAUGUAUUCAGAUUCAGCAGUGCAGAGAGAUACACUGUUCUUCUUCUUUGAAGACCAACAUACAAGUGAUCGUCCCAGAAAAUGACAUGUGCCUGAUGUAGACUUGCGAUCCACCUUGUCACCAGCAUAAUCAGCAUCUGAGAAUCCAACUAGAUCAAACUCUGAGCCCUUUGGAUACCAUAAUCCUAGUGUUGGGGUGUGAGCCAAAUAUCUGAGAAUUCGCUUCACUGCUAAGUGAUGCGAUUCCUUUGGUGCCGCUUGGAACCGGGCACACAUGCAAACACUAAGCAUGAUAUCUAGCCUAGAUGCACAUAAAUAAAGUAAGGAACCAAUCAUGGAGCGGUAUACCUUUUGAUCGAACUCUUUACCAUUGUCGUCGUGUAGCCUUUGCAAUCUUGCAUUCCAAAUUUCUUCAGGCAAUCUUUGAGGUAUUUCUCUUGAGAUAUAAAGAUGUUGUUGCGUUGCUGACGUAUUUGAAGACCAAGGAAGAACUUCAGCUCACCCAUCAUGGACAUCUGAUAUUGCUCUUGCAUUAUAUAUCCAAACUCGUCAGUGUAUUUCUGAUUGGUGUAGCCGAACAUAAUGUCAUCCACAUAUAUUUGGCACACAAACAGUUCACCAUCAUACGUCUUCAUGAAGAGAGUGGGGUCGAGGGAACCAGGUUUGAAGCCUUUGCUCUUCAGGAAGUCUUUGAGUGUGUCAUACCAAGCCCGAGGGGCUUGUUUGAGGCCAUAUAGUGCCUUGUUGAGCGUGUACACCAUGUCAGGAUGUUUUGGAUCUUCAAAGCCAGGCGGUUGUGCAACAUACACUUCUUCUUCAAUCUUGCCAUUGAGAAAAGCGCUCUUCACAUCCAUUUGAUACGGAAGAAUGUUAUGAUGAUUUGCAUAGGCCAGCAGUAUGUGUAUGGCUUCAAGUCUAGCCACAGGAGCAAAUGUUUCAUCGAAGUCAAUCCCUUCAACUUGAGUGUAUCCUUGAGCAAUGAGACGAGCUUUGUUUCUGACAACUUGACGAUGCUCAUCUUGCUUGUUGCGAUAUAUCCAUUUGGUGCCUAUUAUAUUGUGCUUGCGAGGAUCGGGAUGCUUAACCAGUUCCCAUACAUUAUUCAGUUCAAACUGCUGAAGCUCUUCUUGCAUAGCUUGAAUCCAUUCAGGUUCCAUGAAGGCUUCAUCAACUUUCUUGGGUUCAGAUAUUGAGACAAAUGCGAAGUGCCCACAGAAAUUUGCUAGCUGUGUUGCCCUUGAACGAGUGAGUGGACCUGGUGCAUUGAUGCUAUCAAUUAUUCUCUCAAUCUGUACUUCAUUUGCAACACGAGGAUGUACAGGCGAAGAUUUUGCUCUUGCUGAUCAUUUUCAUCGUUAGAAGAGUUGUCUUCAGGCUGAGUAUUGUCUUCAGGUUGAUCAGGUGCGGAGAUGAUAAGUUCCUCUUCAGGCUGAGCUUCAGAUGGUAUGAUUUCUCUAGUUCCCAUAAGUUUGAUUGAUUCAGUGGAUGGAACUUCAUCUAGCACAUUUGGCAGGUGCUCUCUUUGCGAGCCGUUAGUCUCAUCGAACCGCACAUCCAUAGUUUCAACCACUUUAUAGUGAAAGAGGUUGAAGACUCUGUAGGAGUGCGAAUCCUUUCCAUAUCCAAGCAUAAAACCUUCAUGUGCUUUUGGUGCAAAUUUUGAAGUGUGAUGUGGAUCCUUGAUCCAGCACCUGGCACCAAAUACUCUGAAGUAACUAACAUUUGGCUUCUUGCUAGUAAGGAUCUCAUAGCAUGUCUUGUUCAGAAGCUUGUGAAGAUAAACACGGUUGAUGAUAUGGCAUGCAGUAUAAAUGGCUUCAAGCCAGAAUUUUCUUGGAGUCUUGUAUUCAUCAAGCAUCGUCCGGGCCAUCUCAAUAAGUGUUCUAUUCUUGCGUUCGACGACGCCAUUCUGCUGUGGCGUGUACGGAGCUGAGAAUUCAUGUGUGAUGCCCAAAGUAUCAAGAUACGUAUCUAGGCCAGUGUUCUUGAAUUCAGUGCCAUUAUCACUUCUGAUGUGCUUUAUCUUGACGCCAUAGUUGUUCAUUGCUCGAUUGGCGAAGCGUCUGAAGACAUCCUGCACUUCAGUCUUGUAUAGGAUUAUAUGCACCCAAGUAUAUCUUGAAUAAUCAUCAACAAUGACAAAGCCAUAGAGACAAGCAGUAGUAGUAAGAGUUGAGUAAUGAGUGGGACCGAAAAGAUCCAUGUGUAGCAGUUCGAAGGGUUCAGUCGUUGUCAUGAUUGUCUUCGAGGGAUGCUUGGCCCUCAUCAUCUUUCCUGCUUCACAGGCACCGCAUAAGUGAUCCUUCUUGAACUUGACGCCCUCGAUGCCUAUGACAUGCUUCUUUCUUGCAAGAGUGUGCAAGUUCCUCAUGCCAUCAUGCCCUAGCCUCCCAUGCCAGAGCCAGCAUUCUGAAGCUUUUGCUAGAAGAUAUACGGCAAGCUGUGGCCCUGCUGAGAAAUCUACCACAUACAAAUCAUCUUUUUGAUACCCUUCAAACACUAGAGACUUGUCAGAUUCCAUUAGAACAAGGCAACGAUAUUUUCCAAACAUCACAAUCAUGUUUAAAUCGCAAAGCAUUGAGACAGACAUUAAGUUGAAACCAAGGGAUUCAACAAGCAUGACUUUAUCCAUGUGUUGAUCCUUUGACAUUGCAACUCUACCUAGACCCAAUACCUUACUUUUACCAGUGUCAGCAAAUGUGAUGUGACUUUUGUCAGAUGGACGUAAGGUUGAGUCCAUAAGAAUGCUUCGCUUGCCAGUCAUGUGAUUAGUACACCCACUAUCAAUAAUCCAUUCUGAAGCAGCUGGCGUCGUACCCUACAGUGCAGUUAGGGGGAUAGGCUUCACGAAGAGAAUUGUGAAGCAAAAACAUUUGACGGGCAAGUGGAUUAUGAAAGCUUAGAUCGAGGUUAGGACUGAUAGGGCAAGUAGCAAGCGACUCGGGAAGAAAAUACAUAAUAAGACCAUUUGGGCAUUUGAUCUUGCUCCCUACAAGAUGUUUAAGGUCCCCAGCAAUAGCUUCAGACGAUUUUGGUUUUCGGCUGGAGACCUUUCCCUGCAAAAGAGAGUUAAGCUUUCUUAGCCACCCACAUCUUCAAGGGUGGCUUCGAAGCAAUGAGUCUAAGUGCAGCAUCUGAGAACUUUGGCUUUGGAGCCCUAGCAAAAAGUCUGGCAGGUGAAUAAUAGUACUCAUAAGAAUAAGCAGAAUAGUUUUUGGUCUUAUGAACAUGGCGGUUUAAUGAAACGCACUCAUAUUCAUAGGCCUGAGUAAGGUUUCCCUGCAAUACAUUUGCGUUAGUGCGAAUCGGGUGAGUCCUCUGUCUGUAUGAAGCCUUUGGACCAUAUGAAUCCUGUGGUCUGGGGUUUGUCUUCUUCACUUGUGGUGUCAUGACGACAUUCACAGGAAGAUUCUCCAAAUACAUUUUCAGCACCCAGACCUUCUUCAUAGGCGGCCCAUUCCUGCAGUUAGUACCAAUAUACCUGGCAAACACUUCACCAUUCUGAUUCUUAAACAGUUUAUAGUUUGCAUCAAAGGAUUCAUCAAUAACAAUGGGAUUAGCACAAGUGAAGCCAGAUAGGGUGGAUGGAUCCACUGAAGGUCCCUUUGCAGCAACCCAUGUGGUUUUGGGGUACUACUCAGGUUUCCAGUAAGAGCCAUCAGCAUUGAUUUUCCUUUCGAACCCAACACCCUCUUUCCUAGGGUUUCGGUUCAGGAUCUGCCUUUUGAGGACAUCACAUAGUGUCUGAUGCCCUUUGAGACUUUUGAACAUCCCUGUUUCAAGCAAUGUCUUCAACCUAGCAUUCUCAUCAGCAAUAGCAGUGGCAUCCUCAGCAGAGGGGUUAGUUGGCACAUCAGCAGUUGAAGAUAUUGCAAUAGUAGCAGCAGUAGAACAACCAACAACAGAAGUAGCAUUGUCACGCUCAAUACAUUUAAGACAUGGUGGUUCAAAUCCUUCCUGAGCAGAACUGAUCUGUUUGGCGCGAAGUGACUCGUUUUCCUUUUGAAGAUCUUCAUGAGCCGCUCUCAAUUUGUCAAGAUCUUGUUUCCUUUGAAGAUAAUCAUAGGAAAGCUUUUCAUGAGUUGUUGAGAGCGUUUCAUGACGACUUUCAAGUUCCCCAUACUUAACGUGAAGAUUUUUUAUGUCUUCAACUAAGGACUGAGAUCAAGUCAUUUCAGCGUCUAACAGGUCAUCGCUUUUGUCUAACAGUUUUUGAAUAUGUUCCAUAGCUUUCUGUUGUUCAGUUGCAAUUUUAGCAAGUGUUUUGCAGCUGGGUUUGGAACCACAAUCAGAGUCAUCUUCACUGGAAGUUUGAUAGUGAGUAGUGCGUGUGUUUACCUUGGCACCGCGUGCCAUGAAGCAGUAGGUAGGAGCGGAGUAGUCCUUGUCAUUUGCAUCGGUGUCAGUGAUGGAGUAAUUGUCUUCAGUGUUGAAGAUGGACUUGGCAACGUAUGCCGUAGCCAGACUCGCAACGCCAGAAUCGGACUCCUCCUCAGACUCCACCUCCGCUUCCUGAGAGGCGGACUCCUCCUCUGAAUCCAUUUCCUUGCCAACAAACGCACGUGCCUUUCCAGAUGAGCUCUUCUUGUGUGAUGAAGACUUUGAGGAAGGCUUGGAAGAAGACUUUGAGUACUUCUUCUUCUUCUUGUCGUCAGAGUCGUACUCCUUGCUCUUCUUGUUGUUGUUGUUCUCAUUGUCCCACUGCGGACACUCAGAGAUGUAGUGGCCAGGUUUCUUGCACUUGUGGCAUGUUCUCUUCUUGUAGUCAUGAGUAGAAGCUUCAUCUUUCCUUGAGCUUGAUCGUGAAGACUUUCUGAAGCCUUUCUUCUUGGUGAAUUUUUGGAACUUCUUCACAAGCAUAGCAAGCUCCUUUCCAAUGUCUUCAAGAUCAUCGGAACUGCUAUCAGAUUCUUCUUCAGAUGAGGAGACAGAUUUUGCCUUCAAGGCACGAGUUCGCCCAUAGUUGGGACCGUAGAUGUAUCUUUUCUCAGAAAGCUGAAACUCGUGUGUGUUGAGCCUCUCAAGUAUGUCAGACGGAUCGAGUGUCUUGAAGUUAGGGCGUUCUUGAAUCAUCAGGGCUAGGGUGUUAAACAAGCUGUCAAGUGAUCUCAGGAGUGUCUUGACGACUUCAUGCUUGGUGAUCUCAGUGGCACCGAGGGCUUGAAGCUCAUUUGUGAUGUCAGUGAGUCGAUCAAACGUGAGCUGGACAUUCUCAUUGUCAUUUCUCUUGAAGCGGUUGAAGAGGUUGCGAAGGACACUGAUUCUCUGAUCUCUCUGGGUUGAGACGCCUUCGUUGACCUUGGAGAGCCAGUCCCAGACUAGCUUAGAAGUUUCCAAAGCACUCACACGGCCAUAUUGUCCUUUGGUCAGAUGACCACAGAUGAUGUUCUUGGCAGUGGAGUCCAGUUGAACAAACUUCUUGACAUCAGCAGUGGUGACACCUUCGCCAGCCUUGGGAACGCCAUUCUUGACGACAUACCAUAGGUCGACAUCAAUGGCUUCAAGAUGCAUGCGCAUCUUAUUCUUCCAGUAGGGAUAUUCAGUUCCAUCAAAGACGAGGCACGCAGCGGAGACUUUGAUUAUCCCUGCAGUCGACAUAGCUAAAACUCCAGGUGGUUAAACCGAAUCACACAGAACAAGGGAGUACCUUGCUCUGAUACCAAUUGAAAGUGCUAGUGAUCGACUAGAGGGGGGUGAAUAGGCGAUUUUUAUGAAAGUCUUCAAAACAUGGAAGUUUCGAAGACAAACGAUAGAAAUAAACCUAUUACCAUGUAGCGGAAGGUAGACUACACUAGGCAAACCAUAGUCAAGUAUUCAAUGGAGUGAAAGCAUAAUGACUAAUAGCAGCUAGGCAGUAAAGAUCAGGUAGGAAGAUAUUGUGAAGCCAAUCAGAACAUGCAGUCACUCAGUGAAGACAAAAGAUAAAGCAAUCAUACAAUGGCUUCACAAGGACCAACAGUAAGUAAAGGGAAGGGAAGGAUGAAACCAGUGACUCGUUGAAGACAAUGAUUUGUUGGACCAGUUCCAGUUGCUGUGACAACUGUACGUUUGGUUAGGAGGCUGAGAUUCAACUCAGAAGACCUUGUCUUCACCUUAUUCCCCUUGAGCUAAGGACACCCAGUCCUCGCCCAAUCACUCUGGUAAGUCUUCAAGGUAGAAUUCCAAACCUUCACAGACUUCGUUCACCGGCGAUCCACAAUGACUCUUGGAUGCUCAGAACGCGAUGCCUAACCAGCUGGAGGAUUCAUAGUCCUCAAGUGUAAUAAGUCUUCAGGUCACACAGACAGGAAGACGUAAGUGAUGCUAACACUCUUUGGCUCUGGGUGUUUAGGGCUUUAUCCUCGCAAGGAAUUCUCUCUCAAAGGCUUCGAGGUGGGUUGCUCUCAAACGACAAAAGCCGUGCACUAACUCUGAGCAGCCAACAGUUUAUGGUUGUAGGGGGUGGGCUAUUUAUAGCCACUAGGCAACCCGACCUGAUUUGUCCAAAAUGACCCUUGGUCACUAAGGAACUGACACGUGUUCCAAUGGUCAGAUUUCAAACACACACGACAAGUUUACUUGGGCUACAAGCAAAGCUGACUUAUUCAACUCUGGACAAGAUUUGCUCUCAUAGUCUUCACUCGAAGACAUAGGAUUUUGGUUAAGCAUCACUUCAGUCAUUCUGACUGGUUCACUUGGACCCCACUUAACAGUACGGUGGUUCCUAUGACUCAACAAAGAAGAAAAAGAACGACGAAACAACCAAGUCUUCGCGCUCCAUAGUCUUCAUGCGAUGUCUUCUUUUGUCAUAGUCUUCAAUGUGAAUGUCUUCACAUACCACCUUUGACUUCAAUGUCUUCAUUCAUUUUUAGGGGUCAUCUCUGGUAGGAAAACCGAAUCAAUGGGGGACUUCUACCUGUGUUAUCCUGCAAUUCUCACAAACACAUUAGUCCCUCAACCAGGUUUGUCGUUAAUACUCCAAAACUAACUAGGGGUGGCACUAGAUGCACUUACAGUAUCCCUGAUAUAAUUAUUCCGCUCCACAGUUUAUACAGUGAUAACACUUCUAGUAUGGGCGGUAUUAUUGCUAGACGGUUAAGUAUGAAUCGUACCAAAGGUCCCAUCUUUGGAGGCAUCUAUGCUACACGCCUAGCCGUACAUUUUAACAUACCUAUUAGGCAUGCUGAGAAGGAAGAAAAGGUGCUACCCCGUGUUUAUCUAGAUCAUAAAAGUAUGGUGGCACAUGAUUUUAUUGUUAAGAAUAGGGCAGGAGGGCUUAAAUAUCAAAUGUUCUUUAACAAACAUCACCCUGAGACUAUUAUCCUGCCUGCUCCUUCUUUGUUUGAUUUGACUGUAGGCACGUACCUUGUUCCAUUGACGGCUAUCCACGCCUACCGGAACACUGCACCAGCCGAGGAGCCAGAACCAGAACAACAAUUUGAUCCUUCACGGCAGUCUAACUAUCAGUGGGAUCCAGAGAUGAUUGCCAGCCAGUGGCAAUCGGAGCCUUCUUCUUCCUCAUCACGGUACGACCCCAACAACUAUUAUUAUGGAUAUCCACUAGGCCAGUCGUGGCCAUAGACCAACUUAGGCCAAAAGCCUAAGCUUGGGGGAGUACGUAUUUCUCACCGACAUUACAUUUAUGUUCACGCACACUCAUUACUAGAUGUCGGUGCUCAUACUUUUUCACUGUAAUAUCCAUGCUAGUUUAUUUUCCUUUUCCUGCUUUCUUCUUGUGUGUUUGUUAAGCCUUAAGAAAAACCAAAAAAAUUAGUAGUAGUUUAUUUUUCUGCUAUAGUAGUAAUAGCUAAAAAGAAAACCCAAAAAUAUUUCCCAGUCUUCUUUUUGCUUGUUGGGAGCUUUUCCGUGUAAAUAGUUUUAUUUCUUUUCUUUCUUUGGGGGUCAGUAGGAGAAGAUCAUAAUUAAAUUGUUGAAGUGGCUCUUAUAUGCAUUAUUGUUUAUCUGACAAAAGAGCCCAUAUUGCUUUGUCUUCUCCUGUUUAUUGAAUGCUCGCAGAUUCCAGCUUAGUCCAAUGCACAUACACUCUUAUUAUUAUUCACACCGUUCGGUCAUGCAAGUGAAAGGCAAUUAUGAUGAUAUGUGAUGGACUGACUGAGAUGAGAAAAGUUGGUAUGAACUCGACCUCUUUUGUUUUUGUAAAUAUGAUGAGUUCCUCGUUCUUGAUUCAGCUUAUUAUGAAUAAACAUGUUUGCAAUGACAAUUAGAGAUCAUAGUUGCUUGUGCCAUGCUUGAUUAGCUAUGAGUUAUAAUGAUUUACCUUGUGUGCCAACAUGCUAUUGAGAUGAUUAUGAUGUGGUAUGAUGGGGUGGUAUCCUCCUUUGAAUGAUUUAAGUGACUUGACUUGGCACAUGUUCACGCAUGUAGUUGAAACAAAAUCAACAUAGCCUUCACGAUAUUUAUGUUCAUGGUGGAUUAUAUUCUACUCAUGCUUGCAUCCAAUGUUUAUUAAUUUCAAUGCAUGUACAUGGCUGUUGUCGCUCUCUAGUUGGCCGCUUCCCAGUCUUUUGCUAGCCUUCACUUGUACUAAGCGGGAAUACUGCUUGUGCAUCCAAUCCCUUAAACCCCAAAGUUAUUCCAGAUGAGUCCACUAUACCUUCCUAUAUGCGGUAUCUACCUGCCGUUCCAAGUAAAUUUGUAUGUGUCAAACUCUAAACCUUCAAAUAAUCAUUCUGUUUUUAUGCUCGAAUAGCUCAUGUAUCAACCAAGGUUGUCCUUAUCUUCCGUGUUAGGCGGGUUAUUCUCAAGAGGAGUGGACUCUGCUCCUCACUCACGAAAAAAUGGCUGGUCACCGGGAUGCCCAUUCCCAUGCUUUAUGCAAACUAAAUAAAAAUUAAUUGCAAACAAAACUCCCCCUGGGACCUGAUGUAUGUUGGAGGCACUCGUUGUUUCGAGCAAGACAUGGAUUGAUGCUUGUUGGUGUAGGGGGGUAUAAACUUUACCAUUCUGUUUGGGAACCUCCUAUAAUGUGUUUAGCAUGGAAGAUAUCGCCAUCUCUUAGUUGUUAUGUUGACAAUGAAAGUAUACCGCUCAAAAUACAAUUUAUCUCUAUUUAAAAACUGAGCUCUGGCACCUCAACAAAUCCCUGCUUCUCUCUGCAAAGGGCCUAUCCAUUUACUUUUAUGUUGAGUCAUCACCCUCUUAUUAAAAAGCACUAGUUGGAGAGCACAACUGUCAUUUGCAUUCAUCACUAUUAAUCUAUGUUGGGUGUGACUAUGAUUGGAUCUCUUUUACCAUGAAUUACAAUGUCUAGUCAGUCCUUGAUCUUUAAAGGUGCUCUGCAUUUAUGUUUUGCGGUCUCAGAAAGGGCUAGCGAGAUACCAUCUUGUUAUAUCAUAUUAUGAUUGUUUUGAGAAAGUGUUGUCAUCCGAGAUUUAUUAUUAUGACUUGCUAGUUGAUUAUGCUACUGAUAUGAGUAAUUAUGAGACCUGAGAAUUGUUGCAAAUGUGGUUAGUUAUGAUCUAUGCUGAAAACUUGAAUGCUGGCUUGACAUAGUUACAACAACAAGAGCAAACAGAGUUUGUAAAAGUUUUUUCUUUCAGUUUGUCAACUGAAUUGCUUGAGGACAAGCAAGGGUUUAAGCAUGGGGGAGUUGAUACGUCUCCAUCGUAUCUACUUUUCCAAAAACUUUUGCCCUUGUUUUGGACUCUAACUUGUAUGAUUGGAAUGGAACUAACCCGGACUGAUGUUGUUUUCAGCAGAAUUGCCAUGGUGUUGUUUCAUGUGCAGAAAACAAAUAUUCUCGGAAUGACCUGAAACUCCACGAAACAUCUUAGAAAAAAUAAUAAAAAAUCCUCGCCAAAGAUGAAGACCAGGGGGCCCACACCCUUCUCACGAGGGUGGGGGCGCCCCCCCCCUAGGGCGUGCCCCCUACCUCGCGGGCCCCCUGGAUGCCCUCCGACGCCAACUCCAACUCUAUAUAUUUGCUUUCGAAGAGAAAAAAAUCAGAGAGAAGAAAUCACCGCAUUUUACGAUACGGAGCCGCCGCCAAGCCCUAAAACCUCUCGGGAGGGCUGAUCUGGAGUCCGUUCGGGGCUCCGGAGAGGGGGAUUCAUCGCCGUCGUCAUCAUCAACCAUCCUCCAUCACCAAUUUCAUGAUGCUCACCGUCGUGCGUGAGUAAUUCCAUCGUAAGCUUGCUGGACGGUGAUGGGUUGGAUGAGAUUUAUCAUGUAGUCGAGUUAGUUUUGUUAGGGUUUGAUCCCUAAUAUCCACUAUGUUCUGAGAUUGAUGUUGUUAUGACUUUGCUAUGCUUAAUGCUUGUCACUAGGGCCCGAGUGCCAUGAUUUCAGAUCUGAACCUAUUAUGUUUUCAUGAAUAUAUGUGAGUUCUUGAUCCUAUCUUGCAAGUCUAUAGUCACCUACUAUGUGUUAUGAUCCGGCAACCCCGAAGUGACAAUAAUCGGGACCACUCCCGGUGAUGACCAUAGUUUGAGGAGUUCAUGUAUUUACUAUGUGCUAAUGCUUUGUUCCGGUUCUCUAUUAAAAGGAGGCCUUAAUAUCCCUUAGUUUCCAAUAGGACCCCACUGCCACGGGAGGCUAGGACAAAAGAUGUCAUGCAAGUUCUUUUCCAUAAGCACGUAUGACUAUAUACGGAAUACAUGCCUACAUUACAUUGAUGAAUUGGAGCUAGUUCUGUGUCACCCUAUGUUAUGACUGUUACAUGAUGAACCGCAUCCGGCAUAAUUAUCCAUCACUGAUCCGGUGCCUGCGAGUUUUCCAUAUACUGGUUCUCGCUUAUUUACUUUCCCGCUGCUACUGUUACAAUCACUACAAAAUACCAAAAACAUUACUUUUGCUGUCUUUACUUUUGUUGUUGCUACCACCACUAUCAUAUUACUCUGCUACUAAACACUUUGCUGCAGAUACUAAGUUUCCAGGUGUGGUUGAAUUGACAACACAGCUGCUAAUACUUGAGAAUAUUCUUUGGCUCCCCUUGUGUCGAAUCAAUAAGUUUGCGUUGAAUACUCUACCCUCGAAAGCUGUUGCGAUCCACUAUACUUGUGGGUUAUAACUUAUCAUGUCGGGCUGCUCCCUAGGAUAUAAAUAGCUGCCCCCUACAACCACUAGCUGGUUGGCUGCUCCGAGAGAAACUGACACUUAUCAUUUGAGAGCAACCCAUCCUCCAAGGACUUUGAGCGAAAGUCAUCGAGUGAGGAAAAACCAAACCCAAACACCUACAAACCCCAAGUGAUUGAGCAUCACUGAAGAGAUUGAUCCUGCGUGGAUCCGACGCUUGUUACCUUUGAAGAUUGUGCUUCUUCCAGACGGUUAGGCGUCAUGGUCUAGAGCAUCCAAGAGGAAUUGUGGAUCGCCGAGUGACCAAGUUUGUGAAGGUUCGAAAGUCACCUGAAGACUUACCAUGAGUGAUUGGGCAAGGUCUAUGUGACCUUAGCUCAAGGAGAAUACGGUGAGGACUUGGUGUCCUGAGCUGCGUGCUCAGGACUGGGUGUCCGGGACUGUGUGUCCUCGAGUUUAAAUACUCAGCCGCUCCAACCAGACGUACAACUGAGACAGCAGUUGGAACUGGUCUACCAAAUCAUUGUCUUCACCAAGCUUACUGGUUCUAUUCCCUCAACUCGUUCAUUUCCUCAUAAUUGUGUUGUGUGUUUGUUCAUAUCUAUGUUUGAAGACUUUGACUGAAGACUUUCUCAAAUUUCCUCAGUUCAAUUUCUUCAGUCUGUUUGUCUUCAUCAUGUGUUAUCAUGUGCUUACGCUUCCUGUACUCUAUGCCUGUCUUCAUUGCAUCAUGAUGACUAUGCUUGUAUUCUGUUAUGUUUACUUUCGAGUACCUAUUCCGCUGCUAGUAGUUCUUCGCUAAGGAAUUUCCUCACCGGCAAAUUCCUUAGUGAAGAAUUUCAUAAAAAUAGCCUAUUCACCCCUCCUCUAGUCAAUAUAACGCACUUUCAGCUGUGCCGCACAUCGACGCUAUGAAGAGGUCGGCGUGCAUAGAGGGUGCGCGGAUGGUCUUUGCCUGUGUCAAGACAUACUGGGCAAAGAUGGAGGCCACCACUAUUGCAACACAGGAUUGGCCGUGGGCCGAGUGGCUGCCGAGCACUACUUUGAAGAAGUUCUUGAAGGCGCUAAUUCGAUAGAGGCUCAGUGCUCAAAGAAUAUUAUGUUCUAGUGACAUGUACUCCCAUUGUAAGAACAAUGUUUUAUUGAGUUGUCAAGGUUGUGUUUAUACUUUUGCCUGAAAGUAUUAUGAUGCCUCCUGUGCGGCCGUUUAUGUAUAUAUGUAUAUAACCUGAAAGUUUGCAGUCGUCGGCUUCCGCCCCCACGCAUAUAAUGCGGGGGUGUUUGCAAAAACGCGUAUUCACACUUGAUCCAACGUCUUGGUCCAUUAAGGAGGUGGUAGCGCAGCAAACGAGGCAAUCAAACUAUAUUGCUUUAACACUUUCACUUAGCCAUAGGAGUUUGACGGUGGGGCUACUAUAUAGCCCCUGGUACUUCUGCGCUUGUCCGAAAACAGGGCACGUACGUACAUGACCGGCAAACGGCCCUUCGUUAAUGCGGAGGAAUCCCGAAGAUUCCGCUGAGUCAUCGAGUGGUUGAGCAGUCUCGCGCUAUAUCAUGACAGUCAGUUUUCGGCUUUCUCUACUGAGGUGCUCAUCCGGAUGAACCAGGGCACAAUCGCAAUAGUUCUCCCAGUGCUACCUUAGCCGAUAUAGCGAAACGUAAGGUACCAAAACAUGGGAGCCGGGCAAACCCAACAUUUGACCAAAGACAUGAUUCGGAGCUGAUGCAUAUAAGGCCAAACUUGCGACGCCGAACACUCCCUAAGGUAUUUGGUCUUUAUAACAUAUGCCGGGCUGAACAAUGCCCUGAAUAAUAAACCCCGGGUGUCCAGGUACGUGCAAUAUCCUAACGUGGACACAUGCCAAUACGUCGGCAUCCUUCUCGGUUGUAUUGAGUAUUCGGAGGAUGUGAACAACAAGAGACAGUAAAAAAGGUUGACGCAGGGUCUUAAUCUAAAAAGAAAGCUUUGAGCGGGUCCCUGCUACACGUCUGCGCCUGUGUCUCUGUUGUGCCGUGUCCUGGACGGGUGUAGCACGAUUGUCAUCUGUAAAAGAGAAGAACUUAGGUGAAAGUUGCCGUGCCAGAAAAUUGGUUAUUAUUAAUAAACCAGUAAAAUUCAAGAUAAGUCAAGUUGAGCCGGACUAGCCCUGAUUACACGCGGGAAGCCCCUGGUACCGUCUAGGGGGGUUUGAUCAUCAAACCCAUCUCAUGUAUAUGUAGUGGUGCACCGGACUCGUCUAACCGUGUCCGUGGUCUUGACGACCUGUCAUUUUUCCUGGUUGGUGAGGUCGUCUAGUGCUCGGUGGCUAAAGCCGCCGAACAUUCUUCCGCGCAUAGAGCACGCUCAAUAUUUCCGCUAACUGUGAUGGUGCCAUGUGGAUCGGGCAUCUUAAGCUUGGGAGAAGCGUAAUGCGGGAUUGCAUUAAAACGAGCGAAAGCAGCUCUUCCGAGUAGUGCCUGAUAGACACUUCGGAAUGGAGCGAUGUAGAAAUUUAACCUUUCGCUUCGGAAGUUGUCGGAAGAACCGAAUACAACCUCUAGUAAUAGAGAGCCCGUGCAGCGGGCCUCUAGGCCUGGUAUUACUCCCUUGAAGGUAGUAGUACGGUGGCUUAUUUUUGUCGGGUCUAUCCCCAUUUUGCGGACUGUGUCCUGAUAUAUUAGGUUUAGACCAUUGUCGCCGUCCAUGAGGACUCGUGUGAGAUGGUAUCCGUUUAUUAUUGGGUCUAACACCAAGGCAGCCAAUCCUUCAUGCCGGAUGCUUGUCGCGUGAUCCCCGCGAUCAAAAGUGAUCGGGCAGGCCAACUAGGGGUUGAACCUAGGGGUGACGGGCUCUAUGGCGCGUGUGUAUCGGGGUGCAUGUUUGCUUCUACUUUUCGUCACAUGGAGCAUGUUGACUGUUUUAACCUAUGGUGGGAAUUUUUUCUGUCCUCCAGUGCUUUGCUUGCGAGGCUCGUCCUCGUCUUCGCUUGGUGUCUCCCCCCCCCCUUGUGUUCGGCAUUUAGCUUACCGGCCUGCUUGAAGACCCAUCAUUCUCUGUGGGUGUGAUUUGUAGAUUUAUCAGGGGUGCCAUGAAUCUGACAUAGUUUGUCAAGAAUCUUGUUUAGGCCAGAUGGUCCGUCUCUGCUGCCUUUGGAAGGCUUUUUCCGCUGACCUGGUCGAGAGCCCCUGAAUCCGGCGUUUACCGCCGUAUUAUCUGGGUUAUCUUCUUUAUUUCGACACUUGCUUCUAUUGUGUCGUGGUUUUCCAUUGCCACCCCUGACUUCGGAUGUGCUUGGGUCACUGGUGCUACUGCGGGCUAACCAGCUGUCUUCGCCCGCGCAAAAGUGGGUCAUGAGACUUGUUAGAGCUGCCAUUGUUCUCGGUUUUUCUUGGCCGAGGUGUCUGGCGAGCCAUUCGUCUCGGACGCUGUGUUUGAAAGCUGCUAAGGCUUCGGCGUCCAAACAGUCGACGAUUUGAUUCUUUUUGGUGAGAAACCUGUUCCAAAGCUUUCGGGCGGACUCUUCGGACUGUUAAAUUAUAUGACUUAAAUCGUUUGCAUCCGGAGGUCGGGCGUAGGUCCCUUGAAAAUUAGCCCGAAAAGCGUCCUCAAACUCCUCCCAACUUCCAAUUGAGUUUUCGGGGAGGCUUUUCAGCCAGUGCCGAGCUGGUCCUUUAAGCUUGAGGCGCAAGUAUUUAAUGGCAUGGAGAUCGUCUCCGCGAGCCAUAUGGAUAUGGAGGAUAAAGUCCUCAAUCCAGACCCAAGGGUCUGUGGUCCCGUCGUACGCUUCUAUGUUCACUGGUUUGAAUCCUUCUGAGAAUUCGUGGUCCAGCACCUCAUCGGUGAAACAUAGGGGGUGUACGGCACCCCUAUACUUGGAUGUACCAUGGCGUUCGGACGGUUGUGGUAUUUGCUUUUGAUUUUGUGCCGGAGCACGCUUCCUAGAUCCAUAGAUGGAUCUGGUCGUACCAGAUUUUUGACACAAGUCCUCACGUACAUCGUGUGUUGACUUAUGUGCAUAUUUGUUAUCCGCUCCAUCACGGUCACAAAGCGGUGGAUCCGGCUGGUUAGCCGUUUUAUUAUUUGGAUGUGUGGCCUCUAAGGCCUCGUCGUCGAAUUCAGGUAACAGCUUGCGCUUUGGAUGGCUCUUUGUGUGGUAACUUCGACCAUACUUUGCUUCGCUGUUGAGCACUUUGUUCCACCUGCUGUUGAGUGUGUUUUGUGGGGCCUUAAGCCUUUGCUUCUGCUUCUUCAGACUUCAGGCAACAGCAAGGGUCCUUAUGGCAUGGUUAUCUCAGAAAUCAAGUCUAAAAUUUUGAGUUUUAACUGUCACAUAGUUUUUGAAGGGCGUCGGUCUAACGGAGAUGCCCAUAGUUUAGCUAAAUUUUCGCUUUCCUUAGCUCGGGGGCGCCACAUGUGGCUUAUUAACCCUCAUACUCCUCUUUGUAUCCUACAAACUGUGAAUUUCGAUGAAUGAAUAAAGUCUUUCAUCCCUAAAAAAAACUGUGGCAAAAUGUCGAGGGAACGCACAGGCGGAUCUCCUUGACUGGGCUGGUCCAUGUGGCUCUCCCGCUCCGGCUAGCGAAGAAACUACAGCGCUCGGUCGCAAAAAAGAAUGCGCCAAGCAGAAUUCAACACACAAGGUCACGUGCUUCAAAAGUAGUACUCCUACCACUUGAGCUAGCGACCUAGGUAUUUUAAUGGGCAGCACAAAUACUUAAGAACCAAACCAAGCACGAAUACGAACGUUUUUCAAAUUUUGAACGCGAAAUAUUAUUUUGGAGAAAAAGUGAAUUAUGUAUGAAACUGCGAACACUUUUCGAAAUUGUGUAUAUUUGAAAAACUUAAACAUUUCGUAAAACACAAACAAUUUCUGGAAACGAUUUUUUUAAACUCCCCCCCCCCCAAAAAAAAUUGAAAAUACGAACAUUUUUUAGAAAACUAGAACAUUUUUUGAAUGGCAAAACCGUUCUUGGAUACGCUGAAAUUUUUGAAAAAUGGGAUUUUUUUUAAUCUCCCAAACAAAAUUUGAGAACACCAACAUUUUCUGGAACCCCAGAGCAAAAAUCGAAGCAUGAAUAACGAUUUCUGAAAUUCCAGAACAAAAUUUGAAAACAUGAAGAUUAUUUAAGAAAAUCACGAACAUUUUUUAAACUCCCGAAGAAAAUUUGAAAACCCAAAUAUUAUUAUAAAUUUGAGACUAUUUUUGUAAUACUGAACAAAAAUAGAGAAGUUGUGAAAUUUUGAACAAAAUUUGAAUUUCUGAACAAUUUAUUAAAAGCACGAGCAUUUUUUGAAUUUCUGAAUACAAUUUGAAAAUGGAAACAUUUUUUGAAGUGUUUUACACUAUGACAAAUCAAACAUUUUUUGAAAUAUAAGUUUUUUUCCAAAAACACAAAAAAGGAAAAAAGAAACAAAAAAGAGCACAAAAGAAGAGAGAAAAGAAUAAAUGAACAGGAAAAAGAAAGAAAGAAAAACAAAAAAGAUGAAGAACCCGGUUCAGGAACCUACGAGAAGGUUCCCAAAACCGGGAACCGGCUGGAACAUGGCAAUAAAUUGUUCAACACGGCUGGAAAAAAAGUGUUUUCGUAAGUUUGCCAUGUUACAAUUUUGUCCAGAAUUUUUGUUUUACAUUUUUCCCAUGUGCUAGAGAAUGUUUAUAAUUAUUAUUAUGGUCAGAUUGCAAUUUUAUAAUUUUUUAUCCAUGGAACAUGGCAAUUUGUGAAAAUGAAUGAGACUUAGGAUGGCAAUUCUCUGUAAUAGAUGCUAAGUGCAACAAUUAGGAUGUGCUUGAAGAUGGGAUUCACUUACAUAUGUACAUACGAUUAGUGGCCAAGAUUUUGAAUCCUGGUCAACAUGUAUAAUUAUACACCUUUAUUUCUAAGCAGAGUGGAUGUACAAUAUUGGGUGUAUCAUGUUUAAUUAACAGAGUCGUGCAAUGAAGUAACCAAGCGCAUAAAUAGAAGCAGCUGGGCUCCAGAGAUUCUUGGAAGUUGGUGAAGUAAUAAUGGCUUAAAUCAAAAGCUAGGAUACUUGUUGAUGACACGCCGCAUAUAUAUACACUUGUCUCCAAGCGUGUAACUGUCCAAUGGAGCAAAUGCAAGAAAGAAAAUUCCCAUUGCCACUAUAAAAUAAGAGAAGUGGAUGUGGGCUAGAAUAGACACAUUUCGGCGUUGUUUGGAUAAGAGGAAUAUAGAGAACGCAAUCUACCUAAGCUAAGGAAACUGCCUAACCGUAAAAAAUCUUGUUUGGCUCGUCCAACAACCCCGUGGAUAGGGGAAACUCGUUUCCCAAAAACCCAUAAUUCCGGAUUUGUGGGAAAACUAGUAUUACUCGUUUUUCCACAAAUGCGAUUAGCAUAUACAGAUGCAACUGCCUUUCUCCGCCCCCACCUAUUCCUCAAAAACCUCAUAUGGCGCCAAUUCUGCUUUUUGCGUCUCACCUCGCGCCCUUUUCACUGCCUAUAAAAGACAGACUUUGUUUCCCGCAUGUUAUACACCCAGAUCGCAAAGGGCUGGCUGUGAUCCCCGUGACAGGCACUGGAGGGGAAACGUUGACCUUGGAUCUGAAGUUGGUCAUCUUCAAUAAGGCUCCACAUCUCCUUCAGGCUUUCCGUGCAUCGUCUUCCCACCUUCAAUCAGUCUUCCCAUCUUCAAUCAGGUUCCAUGCCUUCACCAUCCUACACAGCAGUACGAAUUUGUAUUUGUAAAUAUUUUCAUGGUACUGUUGAUUGAAUUAAUCUAUUUGGUAGUGAACCCUAUUUUGAAUAAAACCUCUGAUAAUUUCAUAUGGGCAAUUCCUAGGACAUAGUAGAUCCAACAACCUGGUAAUCUGUUAAUCUAAAUGAUAACACGUACUGUUGAAGGAAAAAUUAGAGGCAACUCUGAUUAGGGAGUAUCGUAAAUAUGAACAUGUGGCACAUAAGAGAAUCAGAUUGCACUAUGAAUGCCUAUAUAAAUACUAAAAUGAUCUAACACCGAACCACAAUUAGAUUAUCGAUGACUAUAUAUAUCAAGUGCAGUAGAUAAUUUUUCAUGACAAGGAUGCAGUUUAAAGCACACUGUAAGGAUAAUUUCCCAUAAGUAUCAAUCAUAUUUAUCCAGAAUAUAUAGUGUGCAUUAAGAGCUAAGCAGUAAGCAGAUGGAGAUUAGAAUACCUUGUGAUGUCAUCUGAUGUUGAUAGCAGUACUUGGGGCAAGCGAGACCAGAUUUAAUAGCAAAUUAAAGAUCUUGGCAGCAACCUAGGAAAAUAACUGAUAAGGGAUGUGAACAUCCCGUUAGACAGACAAGCGACAAAAAUUCAAGUGUCCAGUCAUAGCAUGAACAAAAGAUUAGUGGCAUGCUCAUUUUCUUCCACUUCAUAGAUUUAUUCCUUUUGAACCAAAUGACUCAUCUUCCAUUAUUGCUUCUUGUAUCCCCUCUAUAGAAAAAUAUGGAUGAUGAGAAGGAAAAAAAUUAAGAAGGAAAACACAGAUAAAGCUAAGCGCCAUGUAUGGAAAUCUUCAGAGGACAAAAUACUGCUGAAUAUAUUAAAAGAUCAAAGCCUACAUGGAGGAAAAGAAGGAACAGGUUACACAAAGAAAGCAUGGCGUGAUAUCUUAGAACAAUUCAAUGAUUCAAGGGUAGAAAAACUUGAAUUACAACAACUGAAAAAUCGUCAUAAGUACUACAAGAGUUGCCACAGCACCAUGGACAGACUUCAAAAACUCACGGGAUUUGGUUGGGAUGACGACGAAAAAAUGAUAAAAGCUCCAGAAGAUAUUUGGGAAGAACUAAUUAAGUCAAGUUUGUUCAAGUAGAAUUCAUAUAAAGUUUCCAUAUCCUAUUAUUAACAAAAACAUUAAACAACUUGCAGAAGGAUAAGGCUAUCCAAGAAUAUCAAGAUAAGGUGUGGCCUAGUUGGAUAGAUCUUCAAGCCAUAUGUGCUAGUUCAACAGCAUCUGGAGCUGGUGCUGUAUCUAGCAAAGGAAAAGAUGGUGCAUGUACAACCAAAUCUUCACAAAUUGACCUCAAUACGGAAGUUGAAGUACAUGACAUCGAUUCUGAUGAAAUCAAUGCUUCCCCUUGUGUCUUCACCAAGAAGUCAACUACCAUUGAGCCAAAAAAAAGAAGUCCCCUGGAAGUGGAUCCAAGGAAACUGCAAGAGGACAAAAACGGACAGCCGAUGAUGCCAUAAUAGCAAUUGAUCGCCUUGCAGAUGCAUCACUUAGCAUUGUUGAAGCAAAGAAAACAGUAGCACAACAAACUGAAGCUUACUCGGUUAAAUCUUGUAUGGCAAUACUAAAUAGUAUGAGUAAUCUAGAUCCCAAUAAGAAACUAAAAGCGGUAAAGGCAUUUACAGAUGGUGAUAAACGGGCCAUUUUCAUUGAGAUGGAUGAAGAGACGCGGAAGCUCUGGAUUCUUGAUCCUUAGAAUUUUUAUAAUACACCUUUGAGCAUAGUAUUUUAUUUCGGUCGUUGUCGCACUUUACAAGAUUCAGAAAACAAUUUCACUUAUAUUUUGUCAGUUUGUGUGAAGUAAUAAAUAUUGUUUUCAGUUUGGUAUUGUUCAUUGUUCGGUUCAGCACUAUUACAUUUUAAAACAAUUAUCCAGAGAUGAUAUGGUCAACUGUGCAAAUCGUGCAGGGAUCUAUGAACAUUUCAGAUGUGACAGAUGAUGAACUUUCUGAUUCCGAGCAAGUGCUUACUAAUAACAUUUCUGCAGUGUCCUUGUUUCGCGAUGUGUUGUUCACAAGGUUAUUCAGAACGCCCCGUAACACUUCUAUAUUAACUGGUGCUCAGAAAACAAUAGAGUUUUUAGAGGGACAUCCAGUUAGAUUUUAUGAACAAUUUCGUCUUGAGAAGCACACAUUCUACUUGUUGCGGGAUGCUUUGUGCGAGAGGAAGUUACAAAAGGAUACAAAUCGAAUGACAGUGGACGAACAACUACUCAUGUUUCUACAUACAAUUGGUCACAAUGUUAGAAACCGUGUCAUCCAAGAUAGAUAUUAGCAUUCUGGCGAACCAAUCAGCCGACACUUCAACAAAGUUUUAGACGCCGUAAAUGGUUUGCGUGAUGUUUGCAUAACAGAUUCAAGCAAUCAAGUCCCAUUAAAAAUAUUGGGUGACGCAAGAUUCUACCCAUAUUUCAAGGUAUGUUUGCUAUUAGAAGCAGAUACUCUUUUACAUAUGAAUUUCAUAAAUAGAAGGUCGACACCAUUUAAACUUUAUUUUUUGACUAACAAAAAAUCCCAACAGAACUGCCUAGGAGCAAUUGAUGGGACACAUAUUGAGGCAAAAGUCAGGCUUGAUAAGCAAACUCCUUAUAGAAACAGACAUGGUUAUCCGUCUCAAAAUAUAAUGGCAGUAGUGUCAUUUGACAUGACAUUCUCUUAUGUCGCUGCUGGAUGGGAGGGUUCUGCAUCGGAUCAAGCUGUUCUAAGAUGGGUUGUGACUAGUGGGGGUUUAGUUGUUCCUGAAGGUAAAGUACAAUUAUUUGUGUAUCUACAAUAUAUAUAAAGAUGCUGAGUUUGAUAUGAAAUUAAUGUGCAGGUAAAUUUUACCUUGUUGAUUCAGGCUACGCAAAUACUCCAAGAUUUAUUGCCCCGUAUCGUGGAGAUCGCUAUCAUAUUGCUUCUUUUCGUGGAAGUAAUCGGCGAUAUACUAGUGAGAAGGACUUGUUCAACCAUCUACAUGCACAGUUGUGGAAUGUUGUUGAACGAACUUAUGGUGUUCUAAAAGCUCGUUUUCCAAUUCUAAGUAGGAAAGGAGGAAUUCCUUAUCCAUACAGAACUCAAGUGAAAAUUGUUAUGGCUUGUUGCAUUAUCCACAACUUCAUAAGGAAGGUUAAUCAUCCUGAUGAGUUAUUCGAGCUUUAUGAGCAUGGGGAAACAGAACAAAAUACUGACCAUGGUGAUCAACAAGUUCAUGGGCAAGCAAGAGAAGAUGAUAGAGUUGCUGGUGAGAGAGUUCGUGCUGCCAUCGCCUGAGAGUUGUGGACUAAACAUCAACAACGUAGUGCUCAACCAGAAGAUGAUUAAAUACUGUAAUAUUUGUUUUCCAUCUUCAAUUGCAGAUAUAUCUGCAUAAUUAUUGUUGCAACUUUUAAUUCUUUAUAUGGACAUGAACUUCCCAUUCUUUUAUAGGCUUAUAUGCUCUAUCUCUCUAUCUCUCUCACCCUCUGCCUCUCCCUCUCUAUCUGGAGCUACAAGAUGAAAUGUUAUUGUCUACCAAUCUUUUCAGCAAGUAAAGCAACCAAUAAACUACUUCAAAUUGGUGCAUUUUUAUGUGACAUUCAAGUGUUCCCCUUGUACCUACGCACCAGGUUCUUCAAUGGACCAAGUAGAUAUGUAGCUAAUUGCUAAGUCCUGUCAGUUAUGAAGUAGUAUACCCUCCGCAAGUGCGUGAUGUAGACCAUGAAAACAUGCUAAGAAAACAAAAAGGGAGAUAACUGUAGCUUCUCUCGUCAAGUGCAUGAUGUAGUUCAUGUUAAUUUACUAGUACAAAACUUGAAAAUAAUAAUCAAACAUACCUGCUCCUCUGAAUCCCCAUCCGCUAGCUUGGAAUCCCCAUCCACUACAGCUGCCUGCUGCCCCCGGCGCCGCCGAUACAGGCUGAUGUCGGUGCAGCCUGCACGACCGGCGUUGAGGGGAGGCAGGCAUGUGCGUUGACCUGAAGCAGGACCGCUCGCUAGGUACAGCUUGUGCGGGGUCGACGACCGACGAAACGGAGUACGCCUGGGGACCUAGCCGUCCAGGGGAGGGGAGGCGAGCAGCAACCAACAUCCAGGGGGCGGAGGCGCGCAGUAGUAGGCGUCCGCGCGCGGCGGCGUGUACCUGUCGACCUGGGAGUCCAGCAGCAACCGGUGUCCAGGACGGCGGAGGCGCGCCGUACCCGGCGUCCGCGCGCGGAUUCUUCCACGGGCGAGACGAGGGAGCAGCGGUGUGAGCGAGCGGAGGAGGAAUCGGGGGGCAGCAGCAGCUCAACGAGCUUGGAUGGAUGAGGCCAUGGUGUGCGAUUUGGGGAAAGUGAGUCACUCACUGGAGGAGAAUGGGAAUAGGAGGAGCUAGUAGUCGUGGGCAUCCAAACAAGGAACUGGUCCGACCAGUUUUCCAAAUUUCCAUACCAAACGUAGUUAUUUAUAAACUGGUUAUUUGUAAAAACUGACGUAAAAUGGGUUUUCCUAGAAAUCGGCUAAAACCUCAUUUUUUAUAAUCCUAUCGCUAAUCUUCACUAUCCAAACAACGCCUUAGUCACAUGAGCCAUGCGAAGGUGUGAAGUUCAUAUUGUCUUUUGUAACAGAUUGAAUGUGCAAAUUACAUAGAAGAGUCAAGCUCUUGUAUGGUAUUCCAAAAUUAGUAUGAGUCAUCCAUUUCCCCAAAUCUAAUGGUUGGUACUCUUUGAUACUUGGGAAAAGGAGUAUGGACUCAAAAAUUUAUCGAGUGUCUUGACCGACGUAGAACAGCAAUCGCAUCACCCCGUUAGUACUUCCUAUGAGGGUAUUUUGGUCUUGUUGUUGCCUCUCAAUUAUGUACAUGGAAGCAUUUGGCUCAAAUAUAUAUAUACAAUGACUAACAAGAAUCCUGGUCUCUCGCGGGUCGCGGCUGCCACCACAAACCAGGUUAAGAGAGGGGCUGAGACGAGUCGAGGCGAGCGAGGGUGUACCCCAGCGGUGGUGAAUAUCGUCAGUGAAGGUGGAUUAGAUGGUNNNNNNNNNNNNNNNNNNNNNNNNNNNNNNNNNNNNNNNNNNNNNNNNNNNNNNNNNNNNNNNNNNNNNNNNNNNNNNNNNNNNNNNNNNNNNNNNNNNNNNNNNNNNNNNNNNNNNNNNNNNNNNNNNNNNNNNNNNNNNNNNNNNNNNNNNNNNNNNNNNNNNNNNNNNNNNNNNNNNNNNNNNNNNNNNNNNNNNNNNNNNNNNNNNNNNNNNNNNNNNNNNNNNNNNNNNNNNNNNNNNNNNNNNNNNNNNNNNNNNCUAAUGUAAGACGAUUACAUUUGUGUACUGACUACUGGGGUAUAAAAAGAUCAUGUUGUGAUUAAAAAUCUUGAUUAAAAUGAUGAAGUUUCAUAUUUAUUGUAUUGGGCCGUGCUUGGGCAGGUCCAGCCCGAAGGCGGCACGGCGGUCCAUUGGGCCUUGCUUGCGCCUCCCCAGCACGGCACGGUUUGCUGUGGCCCAAGGACGAUGGGUGUGGAUCCGACUGGCACGGCCCUGCCUAAGUCUCAGGUUCUGGCGGCGUAUUGCAGCCCUUUGCGUCGAGGACCGUCUUGCUCGCGGUGAAAAGUUUAGUUACCGCUCGAUUAAUUAAAAAUUCCUGGGUAUUUUGGGUGCGAGCGAUGCAUGAAUGUCGGUCCUCCUCCGGUCGGCAUUGUUUUGUUCCUCGCGUGCAGCAUGCACGUGUCCUUCCUCGGUUAGAAUAAUCUAAACCCGGAUAAGCUUCCCCUUCCCUUCCCAAUGGUCCAGAUCCACAGGGUGCCCACGUCCAAGCCCACUUUGGCCGCCUUCUUCUUCUACCUCUGCGCCCCCUCAUCCCCGCACACAGUACACAUGAGCAAAAGAACACACCAAUCCAGUCCGGAUUUUCAAGGCUAAACGGAACAGGCUAAUUAUAGAACUUGCAUAAGUACAUGGAUCGACCCCGUGUGACAACGAAACAAAUGAAAGAAUGCGAUAUGCAUACUACGGUACUACAUUUACACCAUCCCACAGAGCUUCGAUGCGCGCGCACUUUCCCUUCCUUCCUUCGUUCGUUCUCACGGAUCGAAAGCCGAAACCAGACACAUCUCAGACGGCCGACGGGUUCCUGGGUUGUUGUUCUUGUGAGCUGCGGGAG